GGGUACACCUAGUUGCUCAAACAGCUUAGUGGUAGCUUUGAGGCUAGUGGGAGGUGAAGUAUUCUCCUCGACCAGUAGGAAAUCGUCCAAGUAAUGUAAUACCGUAGGGCAGCCGGCUAUGUUCAAUAGUAACCAGCAUAAUCCUUCGGCAAAAUGUGUUGAAAAUAGCUGGGCUACUUUUGGACCCAAAAGUUAACCGGGAGAAAAAAUAAUAGUUCCCGGACCACUUGAUGCCAUGCAGGUGCCACAGUGUGGGGUGGAUAGGGAGUAAUUUGAAGGCGUUAGUAAUGUCGGUCUUACUGAGCCAGGCUCCAACCCCUGCUUGUAUGAUAGCUGUAAUGGCGUGAUC